UAAGGUGGUUAUAGCAUUGGGGCUCACCUCUUCCCAUUCCGAACAGAGAAGUUAAGCCCAAUAGCG
rnacentral:rRNA from 1 species